GGGGGCUUAGCUUAGUUGGUUAAAGCAUCCGGCUCAUAACCGGAGGAUCGCAAGUUCGAGUCUUGCAGCCCCUACCA
rnacentral:tRNA from 2 species